AGGUGAACCUGCGGAAGGAUCAUUACCGAGUGAGGGCCCUCUGGGUCCAACCUCCCACCCGUGUUUAUUUUACCUUGUUGCUUCGGCGGGCCCGCCUUAACUGGCCGCCGGGGGGCUCACGCCCCCGGGCCCGCGCCCGCCGAAGACACCCUCGAACUCUGUCUGAAGAUUGAAGUCUGAGUGAAAAUAUAAAUUAUUUAAAACUUUCAACAACGGAUCUCUUGGUUCCGGCAUCGAUGAAGAACGCAGCGAAAUGCGAUACGUAAUGUGAAUUGCAAAUUCAGUGAAUCAUCGAGUCUUUGAACGCACAUUGCGCCCCCUGGUAUUCCGGGGGGCAUGCCUGUCCGAGCGUCAUUGCUGCCCUCAAGCCCGGCUUGUGUGUUGGGCCCCGUCCUCCGAUUUCCGGGGGACGGGCCCGAAAGGCAGCGGCGGCACCGCGUCCGGUCCUCGAGCGUAUGGGGCUUUGUCACCCGCUCUGUAGGCCCGGCCGGCGCUUGCCGAUCAACCCAAAUUUUUAUCCAGGUUGACCUCGGAUCAGGUAGGGAUACCCGCUGAACUUAAGCAUAUCAAUAAGCGGAGGAA
rnacentral:rRNA from 1 species